rnacentral:tRNA from 2 species
GCAUCCGUAGCUCAGCUGGAUAGAGUACUCGGCUACGAACCGAGCGGUCGGAGGUUCGAAUCCUCCCGGAUGCUCCA